rnacentral:sRNA from 1 species
GUAAGAAGAAGAAGAAAGAAAAAAAAAGGAAAAAAAAAAGGUGAAAAAA